AGAGAGAGAGAAGAAGAGGAGGAGGAGGAGGAGGAGGAGAAAGGAGGAGGAAGAGGAGGAGGAGGAGAUUUGGGAAUUAUGUUGAUAUGGUGACAGCGACAAGUUAAAGUAUAUUUGGUGUUUUGUAUAUUUGUUUAUUUUUGAGAUAGGGUUUUACUAUGUAGCCCUGACUAGCUUGGAACUCUUUAUGCAGACCAGGCUGACCUCAAACUUACAGAGAUCUGCCUGCCUAUGCUUCCCAAGUGCUGGGAUUAAAGGUAUGAGCCACCAAGCCCAGCUCAAAGUAUAGCCAAGCAGAGGUAAGAUUCCUAAUCUAUAAAUAAUCAAUGAUUUGGGGAGGUUGUUAUUUUUGAGUUAUUUGGGGCUCUUACUCAUAUCUGUACAUUUCUGCUCAGUAUUAAUAUGCUUGAUUAUUUCAAGAAAAUAUACCUCUAUAAAUAAUACUUAAGAGUAACUAACUACUGGGUGGGGUAUGGUAACACACACUGGUAAUUCUAGCAUGGUGAGGCAGGAGGAUUGUGAGUCUGAGGUCAGGUGGUCGGUCUCCACGGGUGAUAGGAUGGUGAUGAUGUUCCCAGAAUUCAGGGAGAAGUCUUGUGGGCACUCCUUCAUCAAUUCAGAGCAGGUAAUGGGGUCUGCAGAACUAACUGGUAUUGGGUGAGUUGUAUGAACCCCUAGAGAGUGUGUUUGUUGCAGUUCCAAGUCUGCACAGCUAGAAUCAUGAGAGCCUAUCGUAAGUGCUCAGUAAACAUCUGUGAAGUGAAUUAAUGUGUAGAGAGGAGAGCAGACUGUGUUCCAGUUCAGUAUUCCACAGCCUUAGCCAACCUUACUGUGCAGAAGCCUUAGUGUUGGGAAGUGUCCAGUAGGGGGCACUGUUGUGCCUCCUAAGGUGAGAUUUCAUCAAACCUAGAGAAGAAAGUGUUUUCCUUCUCUUACUAGAGGGAGGAGAAGAGACACAACUCUAGGGGCUCCUACCCUGUUCCCACUUGUAACAGGGAUUUUGCAGAUGUUCAUGAGACUGGAGCAGAGGGCUUGGCUGGUGGAAAGGUUUCAACCAAGUGGUCAACCCAGGUGGGUAAUACAGGGAAUAGAGACCUUCAGAAACGAAGUCAGGCCUGGUGGCACAGAACUGUCAUCCCAGCAAGUUUGGAGGCUGAGGUAGGAAGAUAGCAAAUUCAAGGCCUGUCUAGGUCACUUACAAGACCAUGUUUCAAACAAAAAGCAAAAAGAUGGCUUAGGAUGGAGCUCAGUGGUAAAGGGCCUGCCUAGAAUUCCCCAGUGAGGGGAUGGGGGUGUGGCUCAGUGGUAGAGCACCUGCCUAGAAUUCCUCAGUGAGGGGCUAGGAAGUGGCUUGGUAGAGUGGUUUGGUGAUGGAGCAUCUGCUUAGACUCUAUCAGUGAGGGGCUGGGAGGUGUGGCUCAGUGGUACAACUCUUGGCUAGAAUCCCCAGCAAGAGGAUAGGAGUGUGACUCAGUAGUAGAGAUCUUACCUAGUAUACAUGAGGUCCUGGGUUCAAGCCCCAGUAUCAACAGAAAGAUAGUGAGAGGUCCCCUGGUUGUGAAGCAAAUCCCACAAAGGCUCGAGACACAAAAGUUUCUAGGAACCUUGGAAGAUGGAGGGAAAUACUAAAGUUUCCUCAUAAAAGGUUAGAAAGCACCAAACUCCGGAAGAAUGUGAAGGAUGAAAGGGAAAUGUAGCCUUGAGCAUAAUUAGGAAGUAAAAGCGUGCACCUUAACCACAAACCUGGGAACCCUAGUGAAGCCCCUGGGACUCAUCUCUAAGGGAAACAUUCUUAGUGUACAAUACCCCAACCUCAUGUGUAACUUGAUCAAUUAUUCUUAUGAUUGGAACCGUCUAAGUUGUAUGUAUGGAUUGGGGAAAGGUGAAUGCAGUUUGCGUGGGGACGAGAGGCAAUAGAAAACCCCUAUCAUAUUCUUUGUUCUGAAAUGGGGGAAGAGAAUGAGGUAGCAGAGACUCUUGAUUGAUGGCUCUUCCACUAGGUAGCUGUGUGAUUCUGCCAUAGUUCCUUAACCUCUCUGAGCCUCAGUUUGUACCUCAAUAACAUGGAGAUUGGAACAUCUGCUGUGCCCACCUCACAAGGUAGAGGCGAGGAUGGGAUAAAAAGUGCAGCAUCUUAUACACCAUAAAGCUCAAGUCCAGGGUG